GGUUAUAGGUCAGGGCCACCCUGUCUGGUUUCACUGCGCCUUCUAUCCCGAGUGAAAAGAUUUCACAGGUAUAAAAAUAUAAAAUAUUUAUAAAAUAAAAUAAAUAUAAAAAUAAAUCAAGGGGCUGGGGUUGUGGCUCAGUGGUAGAGCACUCACCGAGCAUGCACGAGGCCCUGGGUUUGACCCUCAGCACCACAUAAAUGUAAAAUAAAGAGAUUGUGUCCCCCUAAAGCCAAAAAAUAAAAACAUUAAAAUAAAAUAAAAAAUCAGUGGAAAAAAGGCAAAUAAAAAACUGAAGAAAUAAAGUCUGGCACUAAAAUGCAAGGAGGGCUUCUCAAGAAGGGGAUCUGGAAUGAUCAGAGCAGGAGGGGCCCAUGCAGACAGAGGGUCUGUUGAGACACAAGUGGGCCAGGUGCUGUGGCCCACGCCUGUCACCGCAGAGACUCGGGAGGCUGGGGCAGGAGGAUCGCGAGUUGGAGGCCAGCCUCAGCCACUUAGGGAGGUCCUGAGCAACUCAGCGAGACCCAGUCUCUAAAUAAGAUCUGAAAGGGUGACUUGAAGUCAACAUGAAUCAAUAAAACUCCCUGCGUUUGGGUACAAGUUGAUAUCUGGUGUGCCCUGUGAUUUUUUUUGUUGUUGUUCACAUUCAUUUUGAUUUUUAAAACUAUGAGCUUAAAAUAUU
rnacentral:lncRNA from 1 species